GGUGGAGCGAUUUGUCUGGUUAAUUCCGAUAACGAACGAGACUCUAGCCUACUAAAUAGUGGACGAAUCUUAGUUCGUCAUACUUCUUAGAGGGACAAGGGGUAUCUAGCCCCACGAGAUUGAGCAAUAACAGGUCUGUGAUGCCCUUAGAUGUCCGGGGCUGCACGCGCGCUACACUGAAGGAGUCAACGUGUAUUGUAACCUUGUCUGGAAAGACCGGGUAACCCAAUGAAACUCCUUCGUGAUUGGGAUCGGGAAUUGUAAUUAUUUCCCUUGAACGAGGAAUUCCUAGUAAGUGCGGGUCAUCAUCUCGCGUUGAAUACGUCCCUGCCCUUUGUAC
rnacentral:rRNA from 1 species